rnacentral:rRNA from 1 species
UGUGACUGAGUGGCGGACGGGUGAGUAACGCGUGGAUAACCUGCCUCACACAGGGGAUAACAGUCGGAAACGACUGCUAAUACCGCAUGAGCGCACAGCACCGCAUGGUGCAGUGUGAAGAACUCCGGUGGUGUGAGAUGGAUCCGCGUCUGAUUAGCUUGUUGGCGGGGUAACGGCCCACCAAGGCGACGAUCAGUAGCCGGCCUGAGAGGGCGACCGGCCACAUUGGGACUGAGACACGGCCCAGACUCC